rnacentral:rRNA from 1 species
AUGGCUAGAGCAUGGAAGGAUAACUAUUAUGGUAUAUCACAAUUAUCAAGGUACAUCUUUGUGGCUCAUUUUCGUUCUUUGGAUGCUGUUAUGUUUGUCAUUACUCGUCAGCCUUGGAGCAUGGGUUCAGACAAUUUCUUGCUUGAAUGGAUGGAUCCAGAGGAGCAAAAUAGGAAUAUUCAGGACUAUAAGUUUGACACUAUCUACGUGACUAUUCGGAUUUAUGACAUCUUGCAAAGUGUUGGCCAGAUCUCAGAAUUUCAUCCUAUAAAUCAGAGUAUGAUAUUUGCUAGGGAGAAUUACAUUUGGGGUACCAUUAAAGCUCAGGUUAGUAAAGCAGUCAGAGAUAGAGUUUGGGUUUCUUUUGCCAAGGAUUCUGCUGGUUGGGCUUACUUAUUCUAUGAGAAAAUUGGCAGAAUCUGCACUUUUUGUGGAGUUAUGUUUCAUAGUGUUCAGCAUUGCAAGAUCAGAAAUAGUGUUCUCAUUUCAAGAAACAGGCUGCAAGUUUCUUUGGAAGAAAUCUCACCAAAUAGAUUUGGGCAGUGGAUGACUAAUGCAGAGUUGAUUCCUACUCUUUCAGGAGGAAAUGUUCAGGCAGAAGCAAAUUCAUUCUCAUCUUUCAUCAAUCCUCAGCUAGCAAGGUUGCAGAAGCAGUUCAUAGAGGAUCCCAAAGGAAAAGGAAAGAUGUUAGAAGAGGAUUCUGCUAAAAAAGGAAAUCAGAAGGUAUUAUCUUUAAGGAAAAUUAAUGAACAAAAUAAAAGAAUGGAAGGAGAGUUCAUUCACAGUCAGCAGCAGAGUCAAAGUGGUGAUUUAAUGGAUACAACGGUGUUACCAGAUGCAGGUAAUAAGGAGACAGAUGUUGGGCAAAGCAAUUACGUAGAAGGAGGGCAAGUUGAAGCUCUUUAG